UACGGAGGGGGCUAGCGUUGUUCGGAAUUACUGGGCGUAAAGCGCGCGUAGGCGGACCUGCAAGUCGGGGGUGAAAGCCCGAGGCUCAACCUCGGAACUGCCUUCGAUACUGCGGGUCUCGAGUCCGGAAGAGGUGGGUGGAAUUCCUAGUGUAGAGGUGAAAUUCGUAGAUAUUAGGAAGAACACCGGUGGCGAAGGCGGCCCACUGGUCCGGUACUGACGCUGAGGUGCGAAAGCGUGGGGAGCAAACAGG
rnacentral:rRNA from 1 species